GUCCACGCCAUAAACGAUGAGGACUAGACGUUGGAGGCUUUAGGCUUUCAGUGUCGUAGCUAACGCGCUAAGUCCUCCGCCUGGGGAGUACGGCCGCAAGGUUGAAACUCAAAGGAAUUGACGGGGACCCCGCACAAGCGGUGGAGCAUGUGGUUUAAUUCGAUGCAACGCGAAGAACCUUACCUGGUCUUGACAUCCAUGGAAUCCCGCAGAGAUGUGGGAGUGCCGUAAGGAACCAUGAGACAGGUGCUGCAUGGCUGUCGU
rnacentral:rRNA from 1 species